rnacentral:rRNA from 1 species
UGGGGAAUAUUGGACAAUGGGGGCAACCCUGAUCCAGCAAUGCCGCGUGUGUGAAGAAGGUCUUCGGAUUGUAAAGCACUUUCGACGGGGACGAUGAUGACGGUACCCGUAGAAGAAGCCCCGGCUAACUUCGUGCCAGCAGCCGCGGUAAUACGAAGGGGGCUAGCGUUGCUCGGAAUGACUGGGCGUAAAGGGCGUGUAGGCGGUUUACACGGUCAGAUGUGAAAUCCCCGGGCUUAACCUGGGAGCUGCAUUUGAUACGUGUAGACUAGAGUGUGAGAGAGGGUUGUGGAAUUCCCAGUGUAGAGGUGAAAUUCGUAGAUAUUGGGAAGAACACCGGUGGCGAAGGCGGCAACCUGGCUCAUGACUGACGCUGAGGCGCGAAAGCGUGGGGAGCAAACAGGAUUAGAUACCCUGGUAGUCCACGCUGUAAACGAUGUGUGCUAGAUGUUGGGCUAACUUUGUUAUUCAGUGUCGCAGUUAACGCGUUAAGCACA